rnacentral:rRNA from 1 species
AUUGAACGCUGGCGGCAUGCCUUACACAUGCAAGUCGAACGGUAACAGGUCUUCGGAUGCUGACGAGUGGCGAACGGGUGAGUAAUACAUCGGAACGUGCCCGAUCGUGGGGGAUAACGAAGCGAAAGCUUUGCUAAUACCGCAUACGAUCUACGGAUGAAAGCAGGGGACCGCAAGGCCUUGCGCGAACGGAGCGGCCGAUGGCAGAUUAGGUAGUUGGUGGGAUAAAAGCUUACCAAGCCGACGAUCUGUAGCUGGUCUGAGAGGACGACCAGCCACACUGGGACUGAGACACGGCCCAGACUCCUACGGGAGGCAGCAGUGGGGAAUUUUGGACAAUGGGCGAAAGCCUGAUCCAGCCAUGCCGCGUGCAGGAUGAAGGCCUUCGGGUUGUAAACUGCUUUUGUACGGAACGAAAAGACUCUGGUUAAUACCUGGGGUCCAUGACGGUACCGUAAGAAUAAGCACCGGCUAACUACGUGCCAGCAGCCGCGGUAA